GGAAAUGGCAAGUAUGCUGCAUUUUUGAAGGUUUACCAGAAUUUAUUCUAGCAAAGAGAGAAGAAAAAGGCUCUUUCAGACACAAUUUCUUUAUUGGGCGUAUGUUCAACAUCAUCAAGAAUACCGUCCAUCACAUAUGGUCAAACAGCACUUAUUGGUGCAAUGCUGAUAAAGUGAUGAGAGAGACAACGAGUAUCCUGCAUUCUUGGAGCAUGCAGACUGCAUGAGAAGAAUGAAGGGGAAAGUGGCAAGGCAGGCAGAACAAGCCUGAACGAAGACAGUGGAGAUAGUGGA